UAGUUAUCUUUAAUUAUUCCAAAAUCUUUCAGAGAAAAUCCUAACCCUAAUUUUUAGCUAUGUAUCUGUAUCUUUUAGCUUUGAAUUAUUCCAUUAUUAAGCAAUAUCCUCUAAUUAUGUUAAAGAAAUCAUAUUUAUUCUGUAUUUAAAUCCCAAAUCCACGUGGCUGUAAUUAGAAAUUCUCACAUAAAGUUUGUCAAGGUUAAGUAUUCAGUAAUUUCUUGUGCCUAACACUAAUGAGUUUUUUAUUACUAUCUAUACAAAAAAACACUUUCUUGGUUUUUCUUCUAUCUUUCCUUGGAUCCUUUUUUUUUCACACACUAAGCAACUGAAGUAAACGGAAAUUUUGUCUUUUUAGCCACUCCCUUGAAAACUUCGACCUCCCAGUACCAUCGGAGAGGUAGGACAAUUUCCAACCACAAGUCAUCCUGGGUAGUAAUUUUUGGGAACAAGCUAUUUGGGGACAUUCCGGCUCCUUUUCAUUCUACACCUGGACCUACAGGAGGUACCAGUUCGUACCGUCCAGGUGCUCAUCUUGGGAUGCAGUAGCGGACUUUUAGGAGUCAUUUGGGAUUUGUUUGGGAACAUUUAAGUUUGUGUGGAUUUGAGUAACUAUAGUGUUUAUAUUUCAGACAUUUGGUUAAUGUAAUAUUUCUUUUCAAUUUAGCUUAACUUUGGUUUUUAUUAUAACAUAUUUGUAUAUUAGAUUGUUUGGUUCCCAAACUUUGUAUCUACGGUAACUUCUUGUGCACAGGAAUAAGCCUAGAGAAAAUUAGGUUUUUAAUACUUUAUUAUUGCUUUGAUAUUGGUUUAUGUAAUUCGGCUAAAUUUAGUUUGUAAUAUUACUUGCUUGUUUCCCAAAUAUUUUACUGUUAUUCGCUUUAUUCCAUUUGUUCGGUUAAUUUAGGUCAUCGUCGGUAUUUAUCUCAACUUCAUUUCUACUUUAGUCAAUUGUAUAUUUAACUUUAUUUAUUCAUUAUUGUAUUUUCCCUUAGUGAGGCUUGGGCCUAUUUAUUUGUAUUAUUUUCAUCUUGGUCAGUUUCCUUUAGUUGUAUGUAGCAGGCGUACUAUAACCAUUUGGUAGAAGACAUGUAAUUUUGUACACUAUAUGUAAGUAAGAGGUACUUAUACCUGUAAUUUUGUAACAGAUAACAUUAUUGUUGUUAUCUUAGAUAUAACUUUUUGUAUAACUUAUGUCAUUUUAGAGUCACAUGAUAUACACUUUGUGCAACUCAGAGAUUGUCAAAAAUCUAGUAGUUAUUUUUAAUAAAUAUUUAUUUAUUUUGUAUAUCAUGAAUUUUAUUAUUCCUUUAUGUUUGUUAUUACAGGUUUGAUAUAUUUAAUAUUUGACAGCAGUAUAAGAUACCUGGGAGAAUGAUCGAAGAUCAUUUUCAUGGCGCCCAUGAUUUGUUAGAUUUAUUUAUCUUGUUCGUCUUUAGCAAUUAUCCAUCUUCAUUCAGUUUCAGUACAUUAUUCUUAUUUUAUUAUUUCAUCUUUUAGUCAUCAUUACUAUCUAUAUAGAGCUACUGUUCUUCGACAGGCAUGCAAACGAGCCGUAUCCAUCCUUGAGUGUCAAGUGGUUUUCUUGCAUCUCUUGCUAGCCAACUCUCUUCAGUUUGCCUCUGUCUCUUCCCACUUCUACUUCUAUCCCUUCUGAUUCCUUUUUCUUCAGUACUACUGCACUUUAGUAGUAUUUUUCCUAUUGCGGCUUCUCAACGUAGAAGCCACUUCACCCUUUUCUUUACACACACCCCACAUUCUCUUCCUUUCAUUUUUAUUUUCAUAAGAGCCAACUAUUUAACUAUUUAGUUAUAUCUACCUAGUCUUUAUUUUUUACUUACUUCUGUUGGAGUAUAUCUUUCUUUUUACUUUCACUCCAACAGAAGUUUUCUUCUUUUUGUUACACUGGCUGCCCAAUGCGUGGUGCCAACCGUUUAUGGUUUUAAGACAGUAGUUCUGUUAGUUCAUUUUUCUUUUAUUGGAAUUUUCUGUAUUAUUACCUUUUUUAUAUCUUUGUAUUCAUGUUAUUUCUGAUUUAUUCUUGUCUUUAAAUUUUUAUUAAUACUAAACAGGUAGAGUUAUACUGCUUUUGGUUUUGAUUAGUUUAUUUCGAUACCUCAUUUUUAGUUUUAGUGGUACAGCUCAUAUUUUAGUUUGAAUUUUAUAUUUUUAUUGGAAACUUAUUUGUGUAUUUAGAAUGAGUAUACAUGACUGACAUUAUGUUCUAUUAUUAUGGAUUUUUAGUCCUUCUACCAAUGGUAGUAUGUUUGCACGUACAAUUAAUUAUUGACUAUAUGCAUAUAUUUUUUUUCUAGUGUGGUUAUAUUUUACACCUAACUAGAAAUUAUUUUCAGUAUUUAGGUAUUUUAUUUACUUUAUUGAUUUGAUUAUUUAUAUAUUUUGCUGGCAUUUUGAUUUGUUGGUGUGUCGCUAAUAUUUUCUCCAUAUGUAUCUUUGUCUUACAAACUUUAGAUUAUAUUUUAUAAUUGUUAUUUUUGAUAUUUGGGUUGUUUGGUAAGACAGGCACACACCACAAAGCAAUAUCAGUCCAGAAAAUAACUUCUAUACAUGAUACGUUGAAUUCGCAUGGUUCGGAUGAUUACAGAUGUUCAUCCAUAAUUUAUUUUCUUUAAUUGGUAGUGUUAAACAUUACAAUGAUAAAUUGUAUAGUUAAGUAGUUCCAUUAUCCAUCUCAGUUUCUAGUAAUUUUGAGAAUAAUAUAUCAACAUGGGUACUAGAUACCGCUUAUAAAAAUCAGACAGAUACUUUAGGUUGAGAUUUUAAUAUAAUUUCUUUAUUAGUUAGGAACAUUGAUUCUAUUUUUCUAUUAAGUUAUAGAACAAUCUUCAGAAGAAGAUUACCUUAACAUUGUUGUUCAAGCUAAACUCUUCUUCUGUUUGUCUUUAGCUUAGCUCAAUCUUUAGUAUGGUUAGAAAUUUUAGUCUGAUAUUUUUUUUGUCAUCUGAUAAUGCAGGUACCUACAUACAUUGCUUGAUUUCAUCUUUGGCUUUGUUGUUGAUGACUUUAUUUAUGAAUUUAUUACUUAUUAAUUUAAUUAUUAUGUAGUACUUUAUGUAUGAGUUUAUUUUUUUUUGGUAUUAGGUAUGGUGCAUUUUAAUUAUUAUUAUGAGUCAAUAUUAUUAAUUGCUGAUCCUGUCAGUAGGAUUAUACAAUUAAUAAGAACUUCACUUGUAUUUUUGUCUAGUUUUUUGCACACCUAACCCGUGAAGUUAGAAGGGUUGUUGAUUAUUAUGAUAUUUAGGUAUAUAUUGGGAUAGGUAAGCUCAUACAAGUACUCUUGUUUAAUAAUGGAUAUUAUGAUGGAACUAUGUUAACUACCAUAUCUCAGGUUAUGUGUUAUAUUAUUUUGAAUAUUUGAUUACUUACUAAUUUUUUUAUUAUUUUUAAAUCUUGUUAUUGAAUUUGCCAUAUGGGAAAGAUGUUGUGGUUUAAUUUGUUAUUAGGUUACUCUAUUGAAAUUUGUCUCCAAUAUGUAUCUUAAAUACUUUAUAAUAAUUCAGACCCUUAUUUCCUAUACAGUAUGAUUCUGGAAUUAGUAGUUUGGAAUUUUGAUGUAUACCUAUAUGAAUUCUUGAGUCUUUCAUAUUUUUUCUUAUGAACCAGUCUGUUAAUGCUCAAAGUUGGUGAAUACGUGGGUUCGAAGUUCAGCAGUUGGCCAUUGCUCUCCGAUUUCGCAAUCUAUGUCUUUCAUUGCAGAGUAGACAGAUGUUUAUCUAUCAUAAUAUUUCUGGUCAGGAAAUGCCUGCAGCAUGUCCUAACUAUUCUUGUCUAAUUAGUCCAAUUAUUCCAGUUACAUAUUUACAAUUUGAUAGGGAAGUAUUUAGUUUAUAUUUUAUCUCGUACUUCAUAGUAUGUUUGUUGUUGACUAUCCCUAUACGCAGUAGGUUUGUUAAGUCAGUAUUUGGAGUGUUUAGACAAAUGAGUUGUUCAUCAGAGUAUAUUCCCACUUCUUUCCUUAGGCAUUAGUUGCUAUUUUCAGAUUCUGGAAUAUUUCCUGAAUAAUUCCACGUAUGUGAGAACGCAUGAAUUUGCAGUUUUAUUUAAAAUUGUGCUCGUUCUCGUCAAUUUUUUUUUCCUAUCACUUAUCAUGGUGCCAUAGAAUUGGUAAGUUCACCAUUUAUUCUUUUUCCUUUCUUACUUAUUCUUACAUUAUUAGUACUUUAUCUGUGUCUGGCUAUUCUCAUACAUCUGUUGUAGCAACAUGCUAUAGUUCGCGAAUACCAGCACAAAUUAAGUUUAGGUAGUUUCUAUAUUUUAGUCAAUAUACCUUAGGUAUUUAUCUUACUUUUGAUUUAGUUUGGUUACCUCUCUGUUACUUAGUCUGUUGGUAAUUUUUUUUGUGACUUAUUUUGAUUACUUAGUUUGGAUCGGUUCAUAUUACCGGAUGAGGGUGUAUGUAGACCUAAUUUAUUUAUUUUGUUCAGUAUUAGUUACCAUUGGAUCCAAUAAUUUAGUUUAUUUAGUAUUAGUAAGAAUUGGUCCAUAAAUUUGCCUGAUCGUUCUUCUUUGGAUAUACUCCUAUAUAAAUCUGGUGUCCAUUGAUAGUCCGAUUCUGGAUAAGUGUCCGAUUCUUCAUUUAUUUUGUGUAUUUGGUUGGAUAGGUUCGUAUUACCGGAUGUGGGUGUACGUAGACAUGAUCUGUUUAUGUGGUUUAGUAUUGGUGUGAAUUGGUCCAUAAAUUUGCCUGGUCGUUCUUCUUUGGAUAUGCCUUUUAUGAAUCUGGUGUCCACUGAUAGUUCGACUUUGGAUUAAGUGUCCGAUUCCACAUCUAUUUUGGUUAUUGAGUUUUGGAUUCCUUUGGUAUGGUUAUUAUUGGUAUUAUUUGGCAUUAGUGAGAGUUGUUCCAUAAAUCUUCCUGAUUGUUCUUCUCUGGAUAUACUAUUAUGAAUCUGGUGUCCAUUGUUAGUUCAAUUUUGGAUUAAGUGUUCAAUUCUUUACUUAUUUUAGUUACUGAUUUUUUUUAUUCACUUUGGUACAUUUACUUUUGAUAUGGUUCGAAUUGGCUCACACCUUUUCCUGGUUGUUUCGUCCUUGGAUAUACCCUUUAUAAAUCUGAUGUCCAUGGAUAGUUCAAUUUUGGUUUUGGUGCCCAGUUCGACACUUAGCAUUAUGAUGAACUUUAGUGCAAUAUUUAGUUCUGUUUUGACUUUUAAGCAAUAUAUUAAUAUUUGGUAGCAGAGAGUAACAUAGUAACAUUUUAGUAUGAAUUUGAGUAAUUUAUUUAUUUUUCCUGAUCAUUAGUUUAUUCUUAUUGGUAAUCUUGCGAAUCAACGUGGAUUGUUAGACUAUUGUAAAUUUAGUUGUUAAUAUUUUGAAGUUUAGAAAAAAAAUUUUAUGGAUAAAAUUUUUUUCCCGAGUAGAAGGGGAUUGUAACGGUCACGUUACGAAAUUAGCUCUUUAAUUAUUAUUAUAAUUAUUUUCCCUCGGUCUCUCAUUUAAAUUCUCUAAUUUCUCGUAAAGGACUUCUGACGUGACGUCACACUUCGGUGAUGGAACGUACUAUGUACGCCACCUAUCGAGCAAUAGUAUUUCGUGUUCUGAGGCCGUCCUUGUGACAGUCGGAAAGAAACUCAGCUGAGCUUUCACUUUUAGUUGGGAAUUGUUCAGAGUGGCAUGGGACUAAAUUUAGAUCAAGUACCGGUUAAUACCUAGUUUAAAAAAAAAGAAAAAUGUGAAUUCCAUUCCAACCCAUUGAGGAUUAUUUGGGAGAAAUAAUUAUUCUUCCAAUGGGGUUUUCUAUACAACAUCAUCGAGUCUCAUGCCACUCCCUUGAAAACUUAGACCUCCCAGUACCAUCGGAGAGGUAGGACAAUUUCCAACCACAAGUCAUCCUGGGUAGUAAUUUUUGGGAACAAGCUAUUUGGGGGCAUUCCGGCUCCUUUUCAUUCUACACCUGGACCUACAGGAGGUACCAGUUCGUACCGUCCAGGUGCUCAUCUUGGGAUGCAGUAGCGGACUUUUAGGAGUCAUUUGGGAUUUGUUUGGGAACAUUUAAGUUUGUGUGGAUUUGAGUAACUAUAGUGUUUAUAUUUCAGACAUUUGGUUAAUGUAAUAUUUCUUUUCAAUUUAGCUUAACUUUGGUUUUUAUUAUAACAUAUUUGUAUAUUAGAUUGUUUGGUUCCCAAACUUUGUAUCUACGGUAACUUCUUGUGCACAGGAAUAAGCCUAGAGAAAAUUAGGUUUUUAAUACUUUAUUAUUGCUUUGAUAUUGGUUUAUGUAAUUCGGGUAAAUUUAUUUUGUAAUAUUACUUGCUUGUUUCCCAAAUAUUUUACUGUUAUUCGCUUUAUUCCAUUUGUUCGGUUAAUUUAGGUCAUCGUCGGUAUUUAUCUCAACUUCAUUUCUACUUUAGUCAAUUGUAUAUUUAACUUUAUUUAUUCAUUAUUGUAUUUUCCCUUAGUGAGGCUUGGGCCUAUUUAUUUGUAUUAUUUUCAUCUUGGUCAGUUUCCUUUAGUUGUAUGUAGCAGGCGUACUAUAACCAUUUGGUAGAAGACAUGUAAUUUUGUACACUAUAUGUAAGUAAGAGGUACUUAUACCUGUAAUUUUGUAACAGAUAACAUUAUUGUUGUUAUCUUAGAUAUAACUUUUUGUAUAACUUAUGUCAUUUUAGAGUCACAUGAUAUACACUUUGUGUAACUCAGAGAUUGUCAAAAAUCUAGUAGUUAUUUUUAAUAAAUAUUUAUUUAUUUUGUA
rnacentral:lncRNA from 1 species